GAUGAAGAACGUAGCGAAAUGCGAUAAGUAAUGUGAAUUGCAGAAUUCAGUGAAUCAUCGAAUCUUCGAACGCACAUUGCGCCCGCUAGUAUUCUGGCGGGCAUGCCUGUCCGAGCGUCAUUUCAACCCUCAAGCCCCCGGGCUUGGUGUUGGGGAUCGGCGAGCCUCCGCGCCCGCCGUCCCCUAAAUCUAGUGGCGGUCUCGCUGUAGCUUCCUCUGCGUAGUAGCACACCUCGCACUGGGAAACAGCGCGGCCACGCCGUUAAACCCCCAACUUCUGAACGUUUGACCUCGGAUCAGGUAGGAAUACCCGCUGAACUUAAGCAUAUCAAUAAGCGGAGGA
rnacentral:misc_RNA from 1 species